UACGGGGGGAGCAAGCGUUGUUCGGAUUUACUGGGCGUAAAGGGCGCGUAGGCGGCCAGCACAAGUCAGUUGUGAAAUCUCCGAGCUUAACUCGGAAAGGUCAACUGAUACUGUGCGGCUAGAGUGCGGAAGGGGCAACUGGAAUUCUUGGUGUAGCGGUGAAAUGCGUAGAGAUCGGGCGGAACACCAGCGGCGAAGGCGGCAUCCUGGUCCUGUACUGACGCUGAGGCGCGAAAGCGUGGGGAGCAAACGGG
rnacentral:rRNA from 1 species